rnacentral:lncRNA from 1 species
AACUUAUUUCACUGUUUAAAUUAGGUAAAAGAAGAACUAGAGUUUAUAUUAUUGAAUGCACGGUAGGCCACACUCUGAGUUGCGCGUUUUGAAGAACGCCAUCCAUAUAGUAGAGACAUCCUUGGUUUAAAAACUCCUUCCUAUACAAAAUAUACAUCAACAACAUCAAGAGUCUAACAUGCAGAGUGAACAACAAUGAAGAAGAAUGGGAUAAUUUUUAUUACAUCAUUCAAUACCAAAAAAAUUAAUUCCAUUAGACGUGUACACACACUAUAGAUGUAGUAACCCGCCUUCAGGAUUUGUUGGAGAAUUAUAGCGAGUCUAUUUCCUUGUUGAAGUCUGGGUAGAAUUGAGUAUUGAAAACGAAGUAAUUCCUACCCACUGUCUGCUGGAUACGGCGUACGAUUUAUGUUGACUUCCAGUGAUGCAUAAUACAUGUCCUACCGGUAUAUAAAAAUAAAAGAAACCAACAAAGAACGUGGUAAUUUUUAAAAUUUGGAAAAUGACUGGGUUGAAGGCAGCUUAGCUGUCCUGACGUUUUAUUAUAUCAGCUGCAAGUAGCCGUGAGUGGAAGGAAAUAAACACAAAUCCCACUCUGUAUAUAGCAAAUAUACCCCCUAGUCCAACAAAGACUUAGACUUGCAACUCUCGACUUAAUCAUUAUUGUUACUCUCCGUCCUUUCAUGUACAGAUACAGUAGUUAUUACUUUAUACAUAGAUGUUUCAUUUUCAAGAAUUCAAUAAUAAUGACAGCAGCUUUGGAAAAUAAAAUAGCCCAUUAAGAUUGACAACUAGAAAUAGCCCCUCCUACCUUCUAAUACAUAUUUUAUAAACCUAUGUUUAUUAACUUCCUUUCACGGCUGAUAUAAUAAAAUGUUAUGACAGCAAAGCAA